GCUGCUGUUCUACCCUGGCUGCAGGGAUGGGCUGAUCGUGGAGGAGGGACAGCGCUGCCGCUGCCACUCCCUCGCCUGCAACACGUGCCUCUGUGUGCACUUCACCCACAAGGUAACAAAUUGGAAGUACUCAAAGCUGAAAGAAGUGGAUGAUGGGCUUGGGGGAGCAGCUGCCUGGGAGGAUGUUGACUCUACUGCAGAGCCAUGUCCUCAAUGAGAACCUCCUUGUGCUUACUACAUGUAGCUUCAGACCCACUCUGCAGAUGAGCCGAAGACCACCUUCUACCAGUGCUGCAGGACUCAGUGUGGACACCACUGGAGGGAU
rnacentral:lncRNA from 1 species